GCCCUCGUAGCUCAACGGAUAGAGUACGGGUUUGCGGAACCUGAGAUAUCAGUUCGAUUCUGAUCGGGGGCA
rnacentral:tRNA from 2 species